UGUUGGUUGAUAAAAUCGAUGCGUAGUUAUGACACGUCACUACUUGUUUUUAUUUUGGAAAGUAGUUUCUAGAAUUUGUAACGAGAGAGAGAGAGAGAGAGAGAGAGAGAGAGUGAGAGAAAGAGAGAGAGAAUGAAUGAAUGAAUGAGUCAGGAGAGAGAGAAAGAGAGAGAGAGAGAGAGAGUGAGACGAAAAAGUCAAAUAGAGGUGAUAGAAAUAAUUUAAAUACUACAACGUGGAAUAUUAUUGUUCCUUUUUCGUUUAUCGUACUCUUGCUAUUAGAGGUGACUUUAAGGCAUUCAUAAUGGAUAGAUAUAGGUAAAUAAGAAUUCUGAGUAACAGAUAGUUUAUAAUACGACGACGAGGUGAUACAUAAUACGUCUCUCAGUAUAAAUAAGAACGUCGUAGUGGUAACAUCGAGUAAAAGGAAUAUUACAAUAUCAUAUCGAAGAUAAAAUUUUUACGUUAAUUAAUCGUAAACAAACUGGAUGAUAGAAUGAAAAGUUCGUACACCAUAAUGAUGACGAAAAUUGAUUUCCUACCCUAAGACGUUGAAGAUCGUAAGUACAGGAUGGAAUAAAAAAAAAAAAAAAAAAAAAAGAAAAUAGAAAUGAAAGAUUUCCUACAAGAUGAUUUAGAAAAAAAAAAAAAAAGAAAGGGACAUUUCGUGGAAUCGUUUUGGAAACUUUCUAGUACCAUUUUAUCGUACCAACUUUUCCCUUGUACGUUGAAAUUGAAAUUGAAAAGAAAAAAAAAAAAAAUAAUAAUAAAUGGGAGGGGGAUUAAAAAACCCUAGAGAGAAUGUUGAAAACGAUAUAGUCAAAAAAAAAAAAAAAAAAGAAAAAAGAAAGAAAAGAAUUUAAUCAAAUGAAAUUUGAUUUUUUUUUCCUUUUCCUGAAUGAACAUGAAAAUGUUGAAUGGGUACGUGAUAAAAAGGAAUGUUCGUUAGUAAACUGGCAUAUGUUUGGUAAGAUCGUCAAUCCUCCUCCUCCUCCUCCUCCUCCUCCUCCUCCUCCUCCUCUGGCUAAAUCUGUUCUUUCUCUUUUAGCAUUGGCCCACCAUAUGGCGUUCGCAAAACCGAAGUCUUUCUCAGUGGUUAUAUUACUGAAGUUCCCUUAUUUCUUUUUUACUUUACAGUGAGGUAGAUAGAUAGAAAGAAAGAGAGAGAGAGAGAGAGAGAGAGAGAAAAUUCUGAGCAGGAUUUCAUCUGUCAACAUCUGUUUCCUUGGUUGAGCAUGAGAUUCCAUUACUUGAAAACUUUCCUGAAGUAGUAAACGAAGAAGAAGAAGACUAUGACGAUCGUAUUCUCUACCUGUCCGUAUACUUUGGUCCCCAUAAGAGAUAUCCCACCACAAAGAUCUAGAUUUCUCUUUGUUCCCUAAAUCUCUUACAUGAAGAUAUAAAAUGGGAGAAAGAUUUUAUAUAUAUAUAUAUAUAUAUAAAACAUGUCUAAGUCCUCCUACAUGUUUUUUCAUCGAAACGACGGAUUUUCACCAUAGGAUUCUUAUAUAGAAAAGGAAGAGCACACCAGAAGAUCAGUUAAGACGAACCGAUUGAAGGAGCAUUAGUAAGGGAGAAAGAAAAUUAAACGACAUUUAAGCCCUGUAACAAAGUUUAACGAGUGGGAGUGAAUGAGGAGGAGGAGGAGGAAGAGGAGGAGAAGAACGAGGAGAAGAACGAGGGAGGGAGUGGGUGGAGAUAGAGUGGGCUGGGGCAGAGGGUGGGUGGAGGAGGAGUUCGAUGCGGAAACACUUGCGAGGAAAGAGAACAGAUGGUGUACGACCUUCGUAAGGUCCCUGUAUAGUGCCGGUUGUGCACAGUAUACAUAUAUAUAAUAUAUAUAUAUGUGUGUGUAUGAUGUAUAUAUAUAUAUAUAUAUAUAUAUAUAUAUAUAUAUAUAUAUAUAAUACUCUAUAUCGCGUGUUCUCGCGGACCUGAUUUAAUCGUGGGAAAAAGAGGUUCGAGUCGUCGUACCGGUACUCUUGUAUACUCUGUUGCUGUUGCUGUUGCUGUGUUGUUGUUACUGCCACCUCGAGCAUAUCUAACGUAGAGAGCGUAACAGUAUGAUGAUUAUUCACCAGACACAACGUCGUCGUCUUGCCACACUUGAUUAACAAUAAGAGAAAUCUUGAAAGUAAGGAGAGAAGGAGGAAAGAGAGAGAAAAAAAAUGCAACGUGGAGGAGGGACAAAAGAAGUGGAAAAAAAAAAGAAGAAGAAGAAGAAAGAAAAAGAACAAAAAGGAAGAAGAAGGAAAUAAAGAAGAAGAAGAAGAAGAAGAAGAAGAAGAAGAAGAAACAAAUUGGUAACCGACUGUGGAAUUCCUGCUGAUGGUUUUUGCCAUUGGAAUGUUUAGUAUCUCUUGAUGAGUAUGUUAGAAAAAAAGGAAGAAAAAGAAAGAAGAAGAAGAAGAAGAAGAAGGAAAAGAAAUCAUCGAAAUCUUUCGGAUAUGAUCGAUCGUUGUAAAAAGAAAUUAAGGCGAGCAGGUCCAAUAAUAACAGUAAAGAUGAUAUUGUUUUUAACAUUAUCAUCGUUAUCAUCAUCAUCAUCAUCAUCAUCACCACCAUCAUCGUCGUCGUCAUUGUCGUAGUCGUCGUCGUCGUCGUCGUCGUCGUCGUUGUCGUCGUCGGGUUAGCUGGUUUGUAAACCGAAGGUCACCCUGUAAACAUCGGUGGGUGGAUAUGAAAAAAAGAAAGCAAGAGAGAAAGAGAAACAGAGAGAGACAAAGAGAGAGAGAGAGAGAGAGAGAGAGAGAGAGAGAGAGAGAGAGAGAAUGAGUGUAGAAAAAAGAAGAUCAUGGCAACGGAAGGCAGGAUCGCCAGAUGCCAAGGGAGGUAAUUAAAUCGCCACAAACAGGAGCGCAGAACCUUUCAUGGUGCUUGACGGAUGGCAGGCCUCAGGACUUUUAGAACUACUACUACUACUACUACUACUACUACUGUACUACCACCAGUAUUACUAUUAUACCCUGAAACCAACAACAGCAAUAGUAAUGCUUAUACGAUGGAUUCUUGCUAGUCGAAAAGACUUGUAUAUUUUAAACAGUAACCAUAAAUGUUGAUUAUUCGUGCGAGAUCGUGUUAUUGUUUAUUAAAAAAAAAAAAAUAAAUAAAUAAAUAAAUAAAUAAAUAAAUAAAUAAAU